rnacentral:rRNA from 1 species
UACAGAGGGGGCAAGCGUUGUUCGGAAUUACUGGGCGUAAAGGGCUCGUAGGCGGCCAACUAAGUCAGACGUGAAAUCCCUCGGCUUAACCGGGGAACUGCAUCUGAUACUGGAUGGCUUGAGAUUGGGAGAGGGAUGCGGAAUUCCAGGUGUAGCGGUGAAAUGCGUAGAUAUCUGGAGGAACACCGGUGGCGAAGGCGGCAUCCUGGACCAAUAUUGACGCUGAGGAGCGAAAGCUAGGGGAGCAAACGGG